UAAUACGUAGGGGGCAAGCGUUGUCCGGAAUCAUUGGGCGUAAAGCGCGCGUAGGCGGCCCGGUCAGUCCGUUGUGAAAGUCAAAGGCUCAACCUUUGAAUGCCGACGGAUACUGCCGGGCUAGAGUCCGGAAGAGGCGAGUGGAAUUCCUGGUGUAGCGGUGGAAUGCGCAGAUAUCAGGAGGAACACCUAUAGCGAAGGCAGCUCGCUGGGACGGUACUGACGCUGAGGCGCGAAAGCGUGGGGAGCGAACAGGAUUAGAUACCCUGGUAGUCCACGCCGUAAACGAUGGGAACUAGGUGUGGGAGGUGUCGACUCCUCCCGUGCCGACGCUAACGCAUUAAGUUCCCCGCCUGGGGAGUACGGCCGCAAGGCUA
rnacentral:rRNA from 1 species